rnacentral:rRNA from 1 species
UACGUAGGUCGCAAGCGUUGUCCGGAUUUACUGGGCGUAAAGAGCGCGCAGGCGGCUGGUCAAGUCCGAUGUGAAAUCUCCCGGCUUAACUGGGAAACUGCAUCGGAAACUGAUCGGCUUGAAGGUGGGAGAGGGUAGUGGAAUUCCCGGUGUAGUGGUGAAAUGCGUAGAUAUCGGGAGGAACACCUGAGGCGAAGGCGGACUACCU